rnacentral:lncRNA from 1 species
AUGGUUGGCGACCACUCAUGCUCGGCCUGUAUGGCUUCUCUGCAGAUUGAGGAUGGCCAUGAUUUGUGUCCCUCAUGCCUUGGCCUCGGGCAUCUGAAGGAGGGUGUUUCAGAUGAUCCCUGCAUGAACUGCAGUUUUAUGCCUCGGGCAGUUAGAGUUGCUAGAUUAGCUGAGGUGGAACAACGGUUGGGCCUCGUUUCGCCCCCCGAACUGUUGCCCCCAGCCCAGCGACGUAAUCUAGCCCAGGAUGGUCGCUCCAAACGUCGGGCUGCGGUGACCGCAGGCCCCACUUCUAGGAAGAAGGUUAGGGAGUCCGGGCUUGCCUCCAAGGUAGGCCAAUUGACGGCAGAGCUCGAAAGCAUGAAGUGCCUCUUCCUAGCCUUUCAGGCUGGGACUGGUGCAGGGGGGCCAGGUGCCCUUGCUCCUCCGGCAGCCACCUUGGAGCCGGAGGAAGAUGUGCUUUCUCUGGCAGCGUCAGCUGCCGAGUUUGCUGAAUACGAGCCGGAUGGGGUCCUACAGGACGCAGCCUCCCGUGCCUCCGCAGCGUGCUCCCGUCCUUCGACCCGCAGCUCUACUAGUGCUUCUGAGGACAACUCAAUGGGAGCCAUCAUUCGUAUGGCCCUGGCCAGUCUGCAGCUAGACGUGCCGCAAGCGCAGCCGGCUCCGGCCAGUGCUUUCUUCAGGCGUGACCCAGCCCCCGCCAGUUUUAUCGUGCCUCCAUCGGAGGAGUAUCUGAGGGAGUUGCAUGCAUGCUGGAGGGAUCCUAGAGCCCACUCUCAUGCAACAUCCGACGGUCGGUCACUGGCAGCCAUGCAGGAUGCACCCAAGUUUGGCUUGGACCGCAUGCCAGCAGUUGAGCCGACCAUAGCCGCUUUAAUUGUCUCGCCUGAUGAGGCUCUAAGACCGGAUGCGAGGUGUCCUCGUCCCCAGUGUCGGGUUACGGAUGACCUGCUCUCCAAAGCCUAUGACGCAGCGGCACGCAUGGGACGCAUAGGCAAUUCUAUGUCCCACCUGAUGCUCGCUCUGUCAGCAUCCCUGCAGGAGGUUGCAGUGGGUGCUCCGGCCCACGAUUUCAGUGACGCUUCUUUGCAGGCGUUCACACUGAUGUCCAGAGAGUUGGGGCGGGUAAUGUCCACUCUCGUCCAGGCUCGCCGCCAGGUUUGGUUGGCACAGUCUCCCCUCACUGAGGCGUGCAGGAGAACCCUCCGCAGUGUUCCAGUGGAACCUGGGGAGCUGUUUGGCUCUGCAGCUCUAGAAGCGCUUGAGCGAACACUCCAGGCCAGGAAGACUCGCGAGCAUCUAUCUGUGCUUCAAAGGAGUGUGCCUCCUCCUAGCAGGCCUAGAGGUUCUUCAGCUGCCCCACAGCGCAGCUAUCACCCACAGGCUCACCCCAGUGGCUACCUUAGGUCUCAGCGCCCACGUCCACAGCCUGCUCAGCAGCAGGCACAGGCCUUUCGGGCCCCUGAGCGGCUGCCCUCGGGGCAGCUUCAGGUCCCAUAUGCUGCACGUCGUUCCCCCAGGACCUUUAGAGGUCGGGGGACCCGGCGCUGA